AGACUGUUGUAUGUGGUCUAUUUAUGUCAAUUGCCUGUGGGUCAAUCCAUGUUCCCAUGUUACCUCUUUAGUUUCAUGGAUAUCUUGUAUUUGCCCUGAGUUUUUUUUUUCCUUAAAAUAGCUUUUACUGGUGGUUGACUUGAUUUCCACGGUUAGAUGAUCACCUUUGUUUUUUACACAGGUUAGAGCAUACUUACAGCAUCAAUGGAAGCAGAUUCUAUCUGGAAGGGUGUCUCUUCAGGAUUUUGUAUCUGCAAAGGAGGUUCGCCUAGGCACCUACCGUAACUAGCUCUGUUCUUGUUUUGGCAGGAUAAACAAACAAUGUUAUUGUUAAUGGGAAAUAGCAGCAGCCCAUCAUUAGCGAAGAUUCAAAGGAAGCUAUGAAGCAUGCAUUCGAACUCUUUAAUGUUCGAUUGGAAGUAGACUUUGGGACUAGUGAUAUAGGACAUAGCUUAGGAUUGUAAUGAAUAUUUGUAAUUUAUUACAUUUGUCUUUUGUUAAUGAUGAUAUAUACUAUUCUUCGAACAACAAUUUUUCAA